GUUGAUAAAUGUGGCCACCAUAAUUUUUUGUGUGGCUCAGAAAUGACACACUUCACCAUGAAUCAGUCUUAUUCAACUGUUGUGUGAGCAGUUGCUACAGAAAGGCCUGCGAACCUCUUCGUAUCCUCAUGCUUGAUCCGUAACCUCUUACUGAGAACUGUGACCCCAGCACUCCUCCCGUCCACAUCUUGCCAGCGGUCCUGGGUGAAUCUCACGAAAACAUGUCCAGGUUGCAUUUCAGUCCAAAAUUCAAAGCUAAAUACAAUGAGAAAUUGUAUUUGUCAGAAGAGUAUAAACCUAUUUUUGUUUCAGUAAAUUCUUAAAAAUUA